GAUGAACGCUGGCGGCGUGCCUAAUACAUGCAAGUCGAGCGAACAGACGAGGAGCUUGCUCCUCUGACGUUAGCGGCGGACGGGUGAGUAACACGUGGAUAACCUACCUAUAAGACUGGGAUAACUUCGGGAAACCGGAGCUAAUACCGGAUAAUAUAUUGAACCGCAUGGUUCAAUAGUGAAAGACGGUUUUGCUGUCACUUAUAGAUGGAUCCGCGCCGCAUUAGCUAGUUGGUAAGGUAACGGCUUACCAAGGCAACGAUGCGUAGCCGACCUGAGAGGGUGACGGCCAAAACGGGAACUGAGACCGGACCCAGCCCCAUGCGGGGGGAGGAGUGGGGAAUUCUUCCGAAGAGGGAGAAGGCCGGAGGGAGCAGCGCCGGGGGAGUAAGAAAGUUUUUGGAAUCUAAAAACUUUUUUAUUAGGAAAAAAAAAAUGUGAAAUAAACUAUGCAGGUCUUGAGGUACCAUAAUAAAAAGCCCAGGGCAAACUCCGUG
rnacentral:rRNA from 1 species